UUACUGAUGAAAAUUAUUGGUCCGUGUUUAUGAAAUCGAAUGAUUUUAUUCAUUUCCAUUUAUCUGAAUUGU